rnacentral:rRNA from 1 species
AGUGAACGCUGGCGGUAGGCCUAACACAUGCAAGUCGAACGGCAGCACAGUAAGAGCUUGCUCUUACGGGUGGCGAGUGGCGGACGGGUGAGGAAUACAUCGGAAUCUACUUUUUCGUGGGGGAUAACGUAGGGAAACUUACGCUAAUACCGCAUACGACCUACGGGUGAAAGCAGGGGAUCUUCGGACCUUGCGCGAUUGAAUGAGCCGAUGUCGGAUUAGCUAGUUGGCGGGGUAAAGGCCCACCAAGGCGACGAUCCGUAGCUGGUCUGAGAGGAUGAGAGGCCGCAGGGGGGGUGAGACACGGUCGGACGGACAAGGGGGGGAGACAGUGGGGAAAGUUGGAAAAGGGGAGGAGGGCUUAACCGGCGAUACCGGGGGGGAGAGAAGGGCCUUGGGGUUGGAAGGCCUUUUGGUGGGAAAAAAAAAGAAGGAGGUAAACACCCCGCUGUUUUGACGGUACCCAAAAAAGAAGCACGGGCUAACUUCGGG